CCCUCCUAUGAAGGCGUGUCUGUGGUUCCCUGUCUUUGGAUACGUAAGAAUUGGAGACAAAGGAAUGUAGACUUGGAGAAAUCUGGGGCCAGCUUGCUCUCUGAAAACUCAAGAUCAACCAUCCCACACAG